rnacentral:lncRNA from 1 species
UUUCAAAACUACUCAAUUAAAAGAAAGGUUGAACUCUGUGAGAUGAGUGCAUACAUCACAAAGCAGUUUCUCAGAAUGUUUCUGACUAGUUUUCAUGUGAAGAUAUUUCCUUUUCAGCUAUAGGUCUCAAAGCACUCGAAAUAUCCAUUUGCAGAUACUACAAAAAGAGUGUUUCCAAACUGUUCAAUCAAAAUAAAGGUUAAACUCUGUGAGUUGAAUGCACACAACACAAAGAAGUUUCUGAGAAUGCUUCUGUCUCGUUUUCGUGUGAAGAUAUUUCCUUUUUCACCAUAGGCCUCUAAGCACUCAAAAUAUCCACUUUCAGUUUCUACAAAGAGAGUGUUUCAAAACUGUUCAAUCAAAAGAAAGUUUCGACUCUGUGAGAUGAAUGCACACAUCACAAAGAAGUUUCCCACAAUGCUUCUGUCUAGUUUCUAUGUGAAGAUAUUUCCUUUUCAACUACUGGCCUCAAAGCUCUCCAAAUAUCCAUUUGCAGAUACUAGAAAAAGAGAUUUUGCAAACUGCUUACUCCAAAGAAAGGUUCAACUCUGUGAGAUGAAUGCACACAUCAGACAGAAGUUUCUCAGAAUGCUUCUGUCUGGUUUUUAUGUGAAGGUAUUUCCUUUUCCACCAUAGGCCUCAAAGCACUCCAAAUAUCCACUUGCAGAUUCUACAAAAAGAGUGUUUCAAAACUGCUGGAUGAAAAGAAAAGUUCAACUCUGUGAGAUGAAUGCACACAUCACAAGGAAGUUUCUCAGAAUGCUUAUGUUCAGUUUUUAUGUGAAGUUAUAUCCUUUUCAACUAUAGGCCUCAAAGUGCUCCAAAUAUUCAUAUGCAGAUAGUACAAAAUGAGUGUUUCCAAACAUAUCACUCAAAAGAAAGGCUCAACUCUGUGAGGUGAAUGCACACAUCACAAAGAAGUUUUGGAGGAUGCUUCUCUUUUGUUUUUAUGUGGAGAUAUUUCCUUUUCCAUCAUAGGCCUCAAAGCACUCCAAAUAUUCACUUGUAGAUUCUACAAACAGAGUGUUUCCAAACUGCUCACUCCAAAGACAGUUUCAACUCUGUGAGGUGAAUGCACAAAUCAGAAGCCACAAAGAGCCCCAAAUAUCCAUUUGCAGAUACUACAAAAAGAGUGUUUCAAAUCUGCUCAAUCAAAAGAAAGGUUCAACUCUAUGAGUCAGUGCACACAUCUCAAAUAAGUUUCUCAGAAUGCUUCUUUCUAGUUUUUAAGGGAAGAUAUUGACUUGUCAGCUAUAGGCCUCAAACCACUCCAAAUAUCCAUUUGCAAAUACAACAACAAGAGUCUUUCCAAAGUGCUCAAUCAAAAGAACAGUUCAACUCUGUGAGUUCAAUGCACACAUCACAGAUAAGUUUCUGAGAAUGCUUCUGACUAGUUUUCAUGAGAAGAUAUUUCCUUUUCCACCAUAUUCCUCAAAGCGCUACAAAUAUCCACUUGCAGAUUCUACAAAAGGGUGUUUCAAAACUACUCAAUCAAAAGAACGUUUCAACGUUGUAAAAUGAAUGCUCACAUCACAAAGAAUUUUCUCAGACCGCUUCUGUCUACUUUUCAUGUGAAGAUAUUUCCUUUUCAACUAUAGGCAAAAAAGUGCUCCAAAAUCCAUGUGCAGACAUUACAAAAAGAGUGUUUCCAAACUGCUCAAUAAAAACAAAGGUUCAACUCUGUGAGAUGAAUGCACACAUCACAAAGAAGUUUCUGAGAAUGCUUCUGUUUAGUUGUUAUGUGAAGAUAUUUCCUCUCCACCAUAGAUCUCAAAGUGCUCCAAAUAUCCACUUGCAGAUUCUACAAAAAGAGUGUCUCAAAACUGCUCAAUCAAAAGAAAGUUUCAACUCUGUGAGAUGAAUGUACACAUCGCAAAGAAGUUUCUCAGAAUGCUUCUGUCUAGUUUUUAUGUGAAGAUAUUAACUUUUCAUCUACAGGCCUCAAAGCACUCCAUAUAUCCAUGUGCAGAUACUACAAAAGGAGUGUUUCCAAACUGCUCAAUCAAAAGAAAGGUUCAACUCCAUAAGUUCAAUGCACACAUCACAAAGAAGGUGCUAAGAAUGCUUCUGUC